CGCCGCACGGGACGCUAGUUAACGCUACACUCAACAGCAGGUUAGGUUGGACGAGGAAGGCGGGGUGAGCUGCGAUAGCUGGGAUACGUUCUGGGGACCCCCCACCCUGGAUUCUGAUAUGGCAGGAAUUCCUCAGGAGGGAUAACAAGGAUCUGCACACACAGGAAUACAAAAAAUAAACAUGUUACACUCUU